rnacentral:rRNA from 1 species
AGAGUUUGAUCCUGGCUCAGGAUGAACUUUGGCGGCGUGCUUAACACAUGCAAGUCGAACGAAGCAUUUAAGACAGAUUACUUCGGUUUGAAGUCUUUUAUGACUGAGUGGCGGACGGGUGAGUAACGCGUGGGUAACCUGCCUCAUACAGGGGGAUAGCAGCUGGAAACGGCUGGUAAUACCGCAUAAGCGCACGGUAUCGCAUGAUACAGUGUGAAAAACUCCGGUGGUAUGAGAUGGACCCGCGUCUGAUUAGCUAGUUGGUGAGGUAACGGCCCACCAAGGCGACGAUCAGUAGCCGACCUGAGAGGGUGACCGGCCACAUUGGGACUGAGACACGGCCCAGACUCCUACGGGAGGCAGCAGUGGGGAAUAUUGCACAAUGGAGGAAACUCUGAUGCAGCGACGCCGCGUGAGUGAAGAAGUAGUUCGCUAUGUAAAGCUCUAUCAGCAGGGAAGAUAGUGACGGUACCUGACUAAGAAGCUCCGGCUAAAUACGUGCCAGCAGCCGCGGUAAUACGUAUGGAGCAAGCGUUAUCCGGAUUUACUGGGUGUAAAGGGAGUGUAGGUGGCCAGGCAAGUCAGAAGUGAAAGCCCGGGGCUCAACCCCGGGACUGCUUUUGAAACUGCAGGGCUAGAGUGCAGGAGGGGCAAGUGGAAUUCCUAGUGUAGCGGUGAAAUGCGUAGAUAUUAGGAGGAACACCAGUGGCGAAGGCGGCUUGCUGGACUGUAACUGACACUGAGGCUCGAAAGCGUGGGGAGCAAACAGGAUUAGAUACCCUGGUAGUCCACGCCGUAAACG